UAGGGAAUCUUCCGCAAUGGACGAAAGUCUGACGGAGCAACGCCGCGUGAGUGAAGAAGGAUUUCGGUUCGUAAAACUCUGUUGUUAGGGAAGAAAAAAUGUAUAGUAACUAUAUACAAAAGAGACGGUACCUAACCAGAAAGCCACGGCUAACUACGUGCCAGCAGCCGCGGUAAUACGUAGGUGGCAAGCGUUGUCCGGAAUUAUUGGGCGUAAAGCGCGCGCAGGUGGUUUAGAAAGUCUGAUGUGAAAGCCCACGGCUCAACCGUGGAGGGUCAUUGGAAACUAAUAAACUAGAGUGCAGGAGAGAAAAGUGGAAUUCCUAGUGUAGCGGUGAAAUGCGUAGAGAUUAGGAGGAACACCGGUGGCGAAAGCGGCUUUUUGGCCUGCAACUGACACUGAGGCGCGAAAGCGUGGGGAGCAAACAGG
rnacentral:rRNA from 1 species